rnacentral:ncRNA from 1 species
CAACUCUGGAAAGUGGACGUCCAGGCGUCCCGCCGACGGUGAAAGUCGCCCCCGACCUCGCGCGCCGCCCGUCAGGGCGAACUCGCGAUCGAGGCGCGGCGAAGCUCUCAGGCCAUAUGACAGAGGGGGA